CUACAUCCACCUCUCCUCCUAGCUCAACCUUGAUCACUCUUCCUCCAUCACUCUCUCCUCCUGUUCUUUCUGUGUUGUCAUGUGUUGGAUCAGCCUGUGUUGUGCUUCUACUGGUGUUACUGGUUCUGCUGGUGAGACCAUGUGUUCAAAGGAAACCUGAAGCAGAUCAAUUGAAUGCUGGACAGGAUGACAUCAUCACUCAUGUCAUGUACAAAGCUGUCAAGAUAAGAACCACAGCCAGUCUGGUGAAGCAGAGAAACUGAUUUAGCUGACUCGGCAGUGAGAACUGAAGACGUCAGUUAUGGAAAAUCAACCAUCAGAACAAGGAGGCCCAGGUACAUCUGCUCUUUAUCUUUUACUUUACACAAAUACAAGCUAGCUGCUCACUUUGUUUCCAGGUGCCAUGCUAAGCUAAGCUAACCAAAAAAUAUCCUGACCAAUGUCAGACUUGUGAACUCUGACAAUACGCUUUACUAAUGGCUAAUAUACAGCAUUUAGGUUUGUAAUAUUUGUACUUGACUAAUUAGGUUAAAACAAAUGUGAAAUAAUCUGCAGAGAGGAAAAAGAACCUGAUUUUUUUAUUUUUAUUUUUUUUUGUAAUUCA